AUGUGGUACCUUCGGAAGGGAGUGGUGCUAACCAAACAUAACCUAGCUCGUUGCAACUGGCAUGGAAGCAAGAAGUGUGGCUUUUGUACUCAUGACGAGACAAUCAGACACCUCUUUUUCCAGUGCAAGUUUGCACGUUCUACAUGGUCAAUCAUCCAAAUAGCGUCUAAUCUUUGUCCGCCCAUAGGUGUUGCCAAUAUUUUUGGUCAUUGGCUGGAUGGUAUUCCUUAUAGAUUCAAAACGCUAAUAAGGAUGGGAGCGUAUGCCUUAUUAUGGUCGCUUUGGCUAUAUAGAAAUGAUCUGAUUUUUAAUGACAAACACUCUUCUCCUUUGCAGGUUAUUUUCCCUUGUACGCAAUCUCUUCGUACGUGGUCUAUACUUCACCGUACAGAGUUCCAACCGCUGUUCAAGGUGGUGUGUACGCAAUUGGACCGAGUGGCCAUAGAGGUUUUUUCCCAACAUGGGUGGCAGCAUAACCUCCGUAUCGGCCAUCACAUCCUUCAACAUAGGCAUAGUGACGGUAUUAUUUGA
rnacentral:rRNA from 1 species